ACCGGCAAACGGGUGCGGAACACGUACGCAACCUUCCCAAAACUAGUGAAUAGCCCUCCGAAAGGAGGAUUAAUACACCGUAACAUAACGAAGAGGCAUCUCUUUGUUAUUAUAGCUCCGGCGGUUUUGGAUGGGCGUGCGGCUGAUUAGGUAGUUGGCGGGGUAACGGCCCACCAAGCCUGCGAUCAGUAACUGGUGUGAGAGCACGACCAGUCACACGGGCACUGAGACACGGGCCCGACUCCUACGGGAGGCAGCAGUAAGGAAUAUUGGUCAAUGGACGAAAGUCUGAACCAGCCAUGCCGCGUGAAGGAUGAAGGUCCUCUGGAUUGUAAACUUCUUUUAUCUGGGACGAAAAAAGGGAAUUCUUUCUCACUUGACGGUACCAGAGGAAUAAGCACCGGCUAACUCCGUGCCAGCAGCCGCGGUAAUACGGAGGGUGCAAGCGUUAUCCGGAUUUACUGGGUGUAAAGGGUGCGUAGGUGGGCAGGUAAGUCAGUGGUGAAAUCUCCGGGCUUAACUCGGAAACUGCCAUUGAUACUAUCUGUCUUGAAUAUCCUGGAGGUGAGCGGAAUAUGUCAUGUAGCGGUGAAAUGCUUAGAUAUGACAUAGAACACCAAUUGCGAAGGCAGCUCACUACGGGAUUAUUGACACUGAGGCACGAAAGCGUGGGGAUCAAACAGGAUUAGAUACCCUGGUA
rnacentral:rRNA from 1 species